CACGAAGCCGGAAUCGCUAGUAAUCGCAGAUCAGCAUGCUGCGGUGAAUACGUUCCCGGGUCUUGUACACACCGCCCGUCACACCAUGGGAGUCGGAAAUGCCCGAAGUCAGUGGCCCAACCGGAAGGAGGGAGCUGCCGAAGGCAGGUCCGGUGACUGGGGUGAAGUCGUAACAAGGUAAC
rnacentral:rRNA from 1 species